CAACUUUCAGCAACGGAUCUCUUGGCUCUCGCAUCGAUGAAGAACGCAGCGAAAUGCGAUAAGUAAUGUGAAUUGCAGAAUUCAGUGAAUCAUCGAAUCUUUGAACGCACCUUGCGCUCCUUGGUAUUCCGAGGAGCAUGCCUGUUUGAGUGUCAUGUA
rnacentral:rRNA from 1 species